UUUCCGUAGGUGAACCUGCGGAAGGAUCAUUAACACUUUUAAUGAGUCCAAACCAUUGGAUUUCAACCAACCCGUACGAACCGUUUUCAUUCCGGUUAGUGGCGUGUUUACGUGAUGCUUCUCUCUCCCUUCAGGGGGAAAGAGCACGCAUACGGAAAAAGCCAGUAACCCGUCCCUGUCUAAUUUUUUCUCUAACGAUUUUGAACCUAACUGACUAAAACUUUUUUUGGACUUGCUGACGUGGUAACUCACCCAGUAACCCAAAUCAAAAACAUAACGCGAAACAACUCUUAACAACGGAUAUCUUGGCUCUC
rnacentral:misc_RNA from 1 species